CUACAGUAGGUGGCGGCAUGCACCUCUAUGAUUGUUUGCAUACCGCCAUAAUACUGCGGGAAGAAGACAUCCUGUUACAGCUGAGCCCAGCCAGCCAUGAGUAGCAGUGCUUUUGCUUUGACCUGUAUACGGUGCAGUCUCUUUCUCCGCAUCCUCAGUCCUGUUGAAGUUUGUGAGCAGAGCCCUGCAACUGCAAGCAAUCAUUCAUCAGCUCAGCUAAGAGAAAAGACAGCAAUGGAAGGGUGGAAGAGUCACGUUCGCGCUGGACUGUUCCAGAGAGACUGUACACAAAAGGACCCCUUCAGUGGUAUCUUCAACACCUUGUCCAAACUAGCGGAGCAGCUUGAUUUACGGGAUACACUUUGGGAUGAGGUACAGAGACCCAGUUCUGAAGGAGAUGGUGGGCUGAUGGUUGACCACAGAGAACUAUACCUCCAGCUCAGAGAGAGUGAACAUAUAACAGAAAAGCUCUCUCAGACAGUCUCUGACCUGACCACCGUCAUGUACCUGAAAGAUGCUGAGCUUCAAUACUGCCACUCACAAGUCUCCCGCUAUCGGAAGGAAGCUGUCACUCAAGCCAGGGAGGCCAACCUUCUGCAGGCCAGCCUAUCAGAGUUUGAGUUUACAUUGGCGAGCCAAUCAAAGGAGUUGGCAGCCCUGCGGUUGGAGCAGUGGGAGCUGAAGGAGGGGCUUGCAGCGGCCUGGAGAGAGAAAGAAGAGCUUCUGGAGCGAUGGAUGGAUGAGAAGAAGGAGGAGGCGGAGAGGGUGAACAGGCACAAUGACACACAGGAAAGGUGGCAUCGUUUCACCCGGCGACUCAACAAGCAUCACCGUAGAGAGAUGCUGCGACCAAGUGAGCAGACCGACGACUGGUAGGCCUACAAUUGAACCAGCAACCACCAUACAGA
rnacentral:lncRNA from 1 species